GAUGGCGGCGGCGGCUCCCUCUGGUGGCGGAGGAGGGGGGAGAUGGUGGCGGCGGCGCCCUCUGGUGGCGGAGGAGGAGGCCCCUGCCAUGGUGUCUCAGCUCUAGGCCCUCCUGCUUGACCGUGACACCCACCCUCAAGAUCCACUCGACAGAUCACGCGGCUGGCUCUCGAGCUCUACUGCGAUCCCCGAGGAUGUGCUAAGGAUGUGAAGGUCCAUCCCCGGCCCAUGGCUGCUGCCAGAUUAGGCUGGUUGAGUGCGGGCUGAUCUGCAGGCUCGACUUUUUGUUUUGGAGGUUGCUGCUCGUCGUUGGUUAUAUGGGGAGGCGUUUUGGUGGUCCAAGUUUCCUAGGCAAUGCUUUUGCUGGCAGGGAAAGUUCAGAGGAAUAUGCUUUGAGAGGUGUCAUAAUAUGAAAGGAAACAAUUAGUUCUGCCCAAGGGUGUUUCUUUGUACCGGGGCAUUGUCUCCAUAUGCUAGAUGAAAUCCAUGCCUCCCACAGUUAUUGAAGGUGUGUUGCUUCCAUUUGCAAGUAAGAAAGUAAUGCUCCUAAUGAAUUUCCUACAGUUUUUGUGCUCUGCUGAACUUUCCUUUAUUUUGUCAUUUUGGCGGGUGUAUUCCAUCGGAUUUUGCAGA